UGACAGCCUCCUGGAUCCUGACGCAACUGACCUGCUUCCCCUGGACCCCAUCUCCUGAUUCAGACCAGGCAGGCCCUGGGGACAAUCCCCUGCGGCUGCCAAAAAUAAUCAUUCGUGUUCGUUGAGCACCUACUGUUCAGCAAGUACUGUGGAAAUGUUAUCACGAAUCCUCCCAACAGUCCUGCAAAAUAAGUUUUAUUUGUCUGGUUUUAUAGAUGCAGAAACUGAGGCCCAAGGACUCAGCUGACAAGUGGGAGAACCAGCUGCAAACCUGGGCUGCCUGACUGCACCAGUCAGCUCUCUGCCAGCUUGCAGCACAGGUGAACACAACGCACCCGCGGUGAGCUGGGCAGGUAUAAACAUGACGCACCUGCGUUGAGCAGCAUUUUGACGCAGUCCAGAUGCUCCCGGGCGCAGGCCACGUGCAGAGGGGUCCCAAAGUGGCAGUCGUGCGCUUCCAGGUUGGCCCCAACGUCAAUAAGAAGCCUCACACACUCAGAACUUCCUUAAAAGAAAUGGAGACGGAGGAAAGGCAUCGUAUCACAUAUAUGUGAAAUAACAGGCUUGGCAGACACGCGGCUGCUGGAGCAGGACGUCUGACCCAACUCCAGUGAACGACACAUGAGGGAGAGGCUGCUGACAGCGUUCACAGUUUCGACACACCCCUCGCCCCCGAUGUUGCCUAGACGCGAGCUGGGAAGUGCCGUGGCCGUCGGACCACCUGCCUAACGUCGGCUCUGAGGAUGGGAAGCACCAGGCUUUGGAAGUGUUUUCACUGCUCAUUUGCCCUAGAAUUACUCCGUAGGCGGGAAAGUUUGCUUCCCCAAAGAAUGGCCUUUUGCCCUCGAAUCCAUUUUACUCUCGGGUUGCCCAAACGGUAAAGAAGGUUCAGUUAAGAACCGAGGUCGCAUGUCUCACACAGUGCGACAAGGGCACAUGCUCCCUCUGGAUUGGAUUCCUGGGUGUAUCCGUUGCAUGCGAACGACCCUGCGCACGACCUUCCCACAGGGCGCCUGGAAGACGGUCCAGCUCCCACCCCGGGCCCGUGCCAGGGCUGCCCUACGAGUGGUCCCGCGUGGGCAUUUCCUAGGUUCCCCUCGGAACCUGGCAAUGACCACGCACAGUCCCGCAUCCUCCCCAGGGUGCGCAGCGCUCCGGUGGGUCUCCGGUUCUGAAGUCACAAGGAUGACCCGGCCGGCAGGGGACCAGGAGCCGGACGCAGAAACCGCGUCUGAGCUGCAUGGGACCCCCGGACCUGCUCCUUUAAAGACACGGCCCUCCGACCCGGACCCAGCCAGACGCCCCUGACGACCCCUCGGAGCGGGUUCGUCCCUGCCCGGGGCGAAUGUAAGCAGAUGCAGCUCUCGGUCCACGAAGGCGGCCCCGCGCUCCCGGCAACCCGCACGUACCCAAGUCGCCCAGGAAGCUGCCGUCUGCGGCACGGGUCUCCAUGCCACCGCCUCCCCGCGUCCCGGCUCUGCGGCCCCGCCACUAGCACCGCCCGCUGGGCGGGGCCAAUCGGCGUCGCCGCGCGUCCAGGAGAGGCGGCCGCGCGCGCUGGGAGUUGUAGUUCCAGGCCCGGCCGGCGCGGCUCCCCCAGCUCAGGGCUUUCGCCAAGCCGCAGACACCUGCGUCUGACUCCGCGCUCGCCGCUGGUGUUUGCUAGGCAAACGUGUUCAUGUGCAAAAUAUUCUUGUGCAAACCGUGCCGUGUAUCCAUGUGCAGAGGGUGUCAGUGUGCAAAACGUGUCCAUACGUCCCUCUGCAAAACACGUGUCCAGGUGCAAAAUAUGUCCACAUGCAAAACGUGCCCGUAUGUCCAUGUGCACUGCGCGUCCGUGUCAGUGUGCAAAACGUGUCUAAGUGCAGAACAAGUGUCCGUGUGCAAAACAUUUCCACAUGUCCAAGUAUCCACGGGCAAAAUCAGCGUCCGUGUGCAAAAUAUGUAUGUGCAUGCAAAUUGCGCCCAUGUGUCCACGUGCAGAACAUGUCCUGUGUCCGUGUGUAAAACGUGUCCACGUGUCUAAGUGUCCGUGUGCAAAAGUGUCCAGCUGCUACAACUCACUACCUUCCUUUGUAUUGAAUCGACCUCAGCAAAGCUCCAGAGCCUCCCCGCCCCUCCCCCCAUACUUUCAUUUUAAAGACAGACUUCCUACCCGAGUUGGCAUACCCCUGUUUCUUUCAUCUUUCCAGAGAAAUCAUAAAUUCCAAAUUGUUCAGGUUCGUUAAAACGCACGCAUACACCACGCCUUUUGAAGUCUCAUGACAGAAAUGAAGACUCCGUUUACAAAUGAUUCCAAGUGGGCGAUUGAGUAAUCGAUUGCAGCCACAUCACGGGACCUGUACUGAGCCUAAAUGCAGAAGUUAGUUUGAGCUGAAAAGUAAAAAUAUCAGAAAUGAUCCCAUCUGGAAACACAUAAGGACUAGCAGAGAGCAGACCCAGGAGAGGUCUCCCCUAAGAGUGAGUCUUUACCACCAGUCCGGCGCUGUACCCACAAGGGUUUGAACCUCGUCUAUCCGAAUCCCAAGCGCGGGGAAAUUCAUCGCCCCAGGCCUGGAAGUGACAUUUCAAGCCUAUUAGCAAUAUGUGUUUCUAACCUUUUUGCCACUUGUCUACCAAAAUUAGGCUCUUGCAUUUUUCUUGCAAGUUUCUUGCAUUUUUUUACUAAGUGCAGUACAUUUUUUAAUGAAUAUAUUUGCCCAGGGGAUGUUAUGUUUUUCCCUAUGACAAUGCCGUGUGUUUGUAUGUUUGUAUUUUCUUCAAUAUUUCUUCCUUAACAAAGGAUCAU